GACGAACGCUGGCGGCGUGCUUAAUACAUGCAAGUCGAACGGGGUUACUUUGGAAGCUUGCUUUUGGAGUAACUUAGUGGCGGACGGGUGAGUAACGCGUGGGCAACCUGCCCUCUAGUCGGGGACAACAGCUCGAAAGGGCUGCUAAGACCGGAUAUGCUCACACCCGGACAUCCGGGAGUGAGAAAAGGAAACGCUAGAGGAUGGGCCCGCGUUCCAUUAGCUUGUUGGUGAGGUAACGGCUCACCAAGGCGACGAUGGAUAGCCGACCUGAGAGGGUGAACGGCCACACUGGGACUGAGACACGGCCCAGACUCCUACGGGAGGCAG
rnacentral:rRNA from 1 species